UACAGAGGUCUCAAGCGUUGUUCGGAUUCAUUGGGCGUAAAGGGCGCGUAGGCGGCGAGGUAAGUCGGGUGUGAAAUCUCAGAGCUCAACUCUGAAACUGCACUCGAUACUGCUUUGCUAGAGGACUGGAGAGGAGAUUGGAAUUCACGGUGUAGCAGUGAAAUGCGCAGAUAUCAGGAGGAACACCGGUGGCGAAGGCGGUUCUCUGGGACGGUACUGACGCUGAGACGCGAAAGCGUGGGGAGCGAACAGG
rnacentral:rRNA from 1 species